AGAAUUAUUCAGCAAAAUUUAUUUGGAGUUUACAACUUUAAAAAUAACUUUAUACAAAAUCAAAAGCUCACGUGAUUGUGGCUGGGGAUGACUCUCAGCUACUAACACAUCAAACUUAUCAAUUUAGCUAAAAAUCUGUAAAAUUAAUAGAGUUAUGGACAUUUUUUUGUUUGUUAGAGUCAAUUAGCAACUGGUUUAAAUCGUGUGGACUCCAAAAGUUAUUCAAUUAGAUACAACUGGUACUUUGACAGUCUUAAUUAAAUUAUAUUUCAUAUAUAAAGUUGUUAGUACAAUACCUAAACUUCUCCAGAUUUAUUUUCACAUCAUGAAAAAAAAUGCACCAAAAUCAUCUUUAUGAUAAUUUGUUAGCUCGUCAGAUUAAGCUCAUUAAGUAUCUAUUAGUUGUGCCGCUUUCAGACAUUAAACUUUUUUGUUUUUCUGCACUCAGUGUGCCGAGUGCAGAACAGCUCAGUUAUAAAUGCUUAUAAAUGUUAUUAUGCUCAGUUAUAAAACAGGAAGCAGCUGGCACAACUCAAACUUUACUGAUCCUAUGGCUAAGCUGCCACUAGAGGGCAGCAAAGACAAACAAUUCAAAUUAACCAGCUCUCGUUGGUUAAGCAUAGCAAGGCUGACAAUUAGUAAAAAAUACAAUAAACAUAUUAAAACAUAAAUAACCAAUUAUGUAUUUAUUUUUACAAAAACAAAAUCAGAUAGUAAAGCGAAGGGAUGGAAAGAAAGAAAAACCAGGUCGUCAUUGUAAAUAAGAAUUGUUUCUCAACCUGUUAAAGGUUUAUAAAGAAGUAGAAAAUAAGAGAAACAGCAACCACAGAUAGUUAAAUAAUAGAAAAGAAAACAAAAGAAACAAAAAGAACCCAGACAUCAGCAACAUAAAGUGGGUGGAGUCUCAUCAGGUUGCAGGUAAGUGUGUGCCUGAGUGGGACACUACGAGCCAAAAGUUUGGACACACUUCCACCUUCAGUGUUUUGAUGUUUUGACCUACGUUGUGGGUUGGGGUCGUCCAGACUAUGAAGGAACACAUAGGGAACCAUGUUGGGAACAAACCAGAAUACACUUUGGAUUGUUCUAGGGCUGCAACAACGAAUCAAUAAAAUCAAUUAAAAAUCGAUUAUUAAAAGCAUUGGCAACGAAUCUCAUUAUAGAUUCGUUGUGUCGUGCGAUUUAUGCGUCCCUCGCCAUGUUGCCGAGCCGUUUACAUCACCCGGGUGGGGGGGGGCACCUAAAUUCACCUCUCGGGCCAAAAAUAUAAAACUCUCCAGUUUUUUCUGACUGAAGCUCAAAUUUAUUUGUUGAGCAAAAAAAAAAAAAAAAGUUCAGGAC